AUGAGCAAGCCAAGGCCCCAGGCUCAGAGCACUCACACGCCAGUGGAGGGGGCAGCCCAGCGUGGCCCAGCAGGGCACACCCCACCCCCAGCCCAGGCUCCACCCAGGACUGGUCUGGGCAGCCCUGCCGACGUAGUGGCUCCCUGCUCACCGAUGCCGUCAUCCAACCUUCCUACUUACACAUUAAAACACUGCAGCCAGAGAGGCCCCUGCUCACCGACACCGUCAUCCAACCUUCCUACUUACACAUUAAAACACUGCAGCCAGAGAGGCCCCUGUUCACUGACACCUUCAUCCAACCUUCCUACUUACACAUUAAAACACUGCACCCAGAGGCCCCUGCUCACCGACGCCGUCAUCCAACCUUCCUAUUCACACAUUAAAACACUGCAGCCAGAGAGGCCCCUGCUCACCGAUGCCGUCAUCCAACCUUCCUACUUACACAUUAAAACACUGCACCCAGAGAGGCCGCUGUUCACCGACGCCGUCAUCCAACCUUCCUACUUACACAUUAAAACACUGCAGCCAGAGAGGCCCCUGCUCACCGACACCGACACCUUCAUCCAACCUUCCUACUUACACAUUAAAACACUUCAGCCAAAGAGGCCCCGUUCACUGACGCCGUCAUCCAACCUUCCUAUUCACACAUUAAAACACUGCACCCAGAGAGGCCCCUGGUCACCGAUGCCGUCAUCCAACCUUCCUAUUCACACAUUAAAACACUGCACCCAGAGAGGCCCUGCCCGUGCCAUCCAACCCUAUUACACAUAAAACGCACAAGACCCUGUCACUGACCCAUACCUUCCUACUUACACAUUAAAACACUCAGCCAGAGAGGCGCGUAGGUCCACCUUCCUACACAUAAACAGCCAGAGGCCGGUCCCCAGCACAGCCCGGUCUCCAGCGGCCAAAUCAGCUUCCUCUCAAGCCAGCCUCUCCUUAGAAGCGGCUGAACAGCUUCAACCACUAGAGGGCACCAGCCAACCCUCGAUGGAUCCAAAUGUGCCCACAUCGCGAGGGAGCCUCAGCACCGGGUUGCGGCUCCUGAUCACAGAAUACGAAUACCCUUUAUCUUUUCUCAAAAUGAGCCCUGCAGCUGAGGCAAGCUUUACAUUGGCUGCACAGACUUUACUCUUUUAAGUGUUUUUUUUGUGAGUACAUAGCAGACGUAUGUAUUUAUGGGGGUAUGAGAUAUCUUGAUACAGGCAUAUAACUCAUAAUAAUCACAUCAGGGUAAAUGGGGUAUCCAUCCCUUCAAGGAUUCAUUCUUUCUCUGUGUGACAAACAAUCUAAUUAUACUCCUUCAGUUAUUUUUAAGUAUACAAUAAAUUAUCAUUGACUAUAGUCACCCUGUCAUGC
rnacentral:lncRNA from 1 species